AUGAACGCUGGCGGCGUGCUUAAUACAUGCAAGUCGAACGAAGCGCUUACAGCCGAUCCUCGGGUGAAGCAGUUGUGACUUAGUGGCGGACGGGUGAGUAACGCGUGGGUAACCUGCCUUAUGCAGGGGGAUAACAGUUAGAAAUGACUGCUAAUACCGCAUAAGCGCACAGCACCGCAUGAUGCAGUGUGAAAAAGAUUUAUCGGCAUAAGAUGGACCCGCGUCUGAUUAGGUAGUUGGUGAGGUAACGGCCCACCAAGCCUGCGAUCAGUAGCCGACUUGAGAGAGUGAUCGGCCACAUUGGGACUGAGACACGGCCCAGACUCCUACGGGAGGCAGCAGUAGGGAAUAUUGCACAAUGGGGGAAACCCUGAUGCAGCGAACCGCCGCGUGAGUGAUUGAAGCAUUUCGGUGCGUAAAGCUCUAUCAGCAGGGAAGAUAAUGACGGUACCUGACUAAGAAGCCCCGGCUAACUACGUGCCAGCAGCCGC
rnacentral:rRNA from 1 species